rnacentral:rRNA from 1 species
GGUUAAGCGACUAAGCGUACACGGUGGAUGCCCUGGCAGUCAGAGGCGAUGAAGGACGUGCUAAUCUGCGAAAAGCGUCGGUAAGGUGAUAUGAACCGUUAUAACCGGCGAUGUCCGAAUGGGGAAACCCAGUGCAAUUCGUUGCACUAUCGUUAACUGAAUACAUAGGUUAACGAGGCGAACCGGGGAACUGAAACAUCUAAGUACCCCGAGGAAAAGAAAUCAACCGAGAUUCCCCAGUAGCGGCGAGCGAACGGGGAGCAGCCCAGAGUCUGAAUCAGCUUGUGUGUUAGUGGAACGGUCUGGAAAGUCCGACGGUACAGGGUGAUAGUCCCGUACACCAAAAUGCACAGGUUGUGAACUCGAAGAGUAGGGCGGGACACGUGGUAUCCUGUCUGAAUAUGGGGACCAUCCUCCAAGGCUAAAUACUCCUGACUGACCGAUAGUGAACCAGUACCGUGAGGGAAAGGCGAAAAGAACCCCGGCGAGGGAGUGAAAAAGAACCUGAAACCGUGUACGUACAAGCAGUGGGAGCACCUUCGGGUGUGACUGCGUACCUUUGUAUAAUGGGUCAGCGACUUAUAUUCUGUAGCAAGGUUAACCGUAUAGGGAGCCGCAGGGAAACCGAGUCUUAACUGGGCGUUAAGUUGCAGGGUAUAGACCCGAAACCCGGUGAUCUAGCCAUGGGCAGGUUGAAGGUUGGGUAACACUAACUGGAGGACCGAACCGACUAAUGUUGAAAAAUUAGCGGAUGACUUGUGGCUGGGGUGAAAGGCCAAUCAAACCGGGAGAUAGCUGGUUCUCCCGAAAGCUAUUUAGGUAGCGCCUCGUGAACUCAUCUUCGGGGUAGAGCACUGUUUCGGCUAGGGGUCAUCCCGACUUACCAACCCGAUGCAAACUACGAAUACCGAAGAAUGUUAUCACGGGAGACACACGGCGGGUGCUAACGUCCGUCGUGAAGAGGGAAACAACCCAGACCGCCAGCUAAGGUCCCAAAGUCAUGGUUAAGUGGGAAACGAUGUGGGAAGGCACAGACAGCCAGGAUGUUGGCUUAGAAGCAGCCAUCAUUUAAAGAAAGCGUAAUAGCUCACUGGUCGAGUCGGCCUGCGCGGAAGAUGUAACGGGGCUAAACCAUGCACCGAAGCUGCGGCAGCGACACUAUGUGUUGUUGGGUAGGGAGCGUUCUGUAAGCCUGCGAAGGUGACCUGUGAGGGUUGCUGGAGGUAUCAGAAGUGCGAAUGCUGACAUAAGUAACGAUAAAGCGGGUGAAAAGCCCGCUCGCCGGAAGACCAAGGGUUCCUGUCCAACGUUAAUCGGGGCAGGGUGAGUCGACCCCUAAGGCGAGGCCGAAAGGCGUAGUCGAUGGGAAACAGGUUAAUAUUCCUGUACUUGGUGUUACUGCGAAGGGGACGGAGAAGGCUAUGUUAGCCGGGCGACGGUUGUCCCGGUUUAAGCAUGUAGGCUGGUUGUCCAGGCAAAUCCGGAUAAUCAAGGCUGAGGUGUGAUGACGAGGCACUACGGUGCUGAAGUAACAAAUGCCCUGCUUCCAGGAAAAGCCUCUAAGCAUCAGGUAACAUUAAAUCGUACCCCAAACCGACACAGGUGGUCAGGUAGAGAAUACCAAGGCGCUUGAGAGAACUCGGGUGAAGGAACUAGGCAAAAUGGUGCCGUAACUUCGGGAGAAGGCACGCUGGUGUGUAGGUGAAGCCCCUGCGGGUGGAGCUGAGACCAGUCGAAGAUACCAGCUGGCUGCAACUGUUUAUUAAAAACACAGCACUGUGCAAACACGAAAGUGGACGUAUACGGUGUGACGCCUGCCCGGUGCCGGAAGGUUAAUUGAUGGGGUUAUCCGUAAGGAGAAGCUCUUGAUCGAAGCCCCGGUAAACGGCGGCCGUAACUAUAACGGUCCUAAGGUAGCGAAAUUCCUUGUCGGGUAAGUUCCGACCUGCACGAAUGGCGUAAUGAUGGCCAGGCUGUCUCCACCCGAGACUCAGUGAAAUUGAACUCGCUGUGAAGAUGCAGUGUACCCGCGGCAAGACGGAAAGACCCCGUGAACCUUUACUAUAGCUUGACACUGAACAUUGAGCCUUGAUGUGUAGGAUAGGUGGGAGGCUUUGAAGCGUGGACGCCAGUCUGCGUGGAGCCAACCUUGAAAUACCACCCUUUAAUGUUUGAUGUUCUAACGUUGGCCCCUUACCGGGGUUGCGGACAGUGUCUGGUGGGUAGUUUGACUGGGGCGGUCUCCUCCUAAAGCGUAACGGAGGAGCACGAAGGUUAGCUAAUCCUGGUCGGACAUCAGGAGGUUAGUGCAAUGGCAUAAGCUAGCUUGACUGCGAGCGUGACGGCGCGAGCAGGUGCGAAAGCAGGUCAUAGUGAUCCGGUGGUUCUGAAUGGAAGGGCCAUCGCUCAACGGAUAAAAGGUACUCCGGGGAUAACAGGCUGAUACCGCCCAAGAGUUCAUAUCGACGGCGGUGUUUGGCACCUCGAUGUCGGCUCAUCACAUCCUGGGGCUGAAGUAGGUCCCAAGGGUAUGGCUGUUCGCCAUUUAAAGUGGUACGCGAGCUGGGUUUAGAACGUCGUGAGACAGUUCGGUCCCUAUCUGCCGUGGGCGCUGGAGAAUUGAGGGGCUGCUCCUAGUACGAGAGGACCGGAGUGGACGCAUCACUGGUGUUCGGGUUGUCAUGCCAAUGGCACUGCCCGGUAGCUAAAUGCGGAAGAGAUAAGUGCUGAAAGCAUCUAAGCACGAAACUUGCCCCGAGAUGAGUUCUCCCUGAGACUUUAAGUCUCCUGAAGGAACGUUGAAGACGACGACGUUGAUAGGCCGGGUGUGUAAGCGCAGCGAUGCGUUGAGCUAACCGGUACUAAUGAACCGUGAGGCUUAACCUU